CUGGAAUAACACGAGGAAACUUGUGCUAAUACCGGAUAAGUCUUUACGGAGAAAGCUUUAUGCACCAUUGGAUGAGCCUGCACUUGAUUAGUUUGUUGGUGGGGUAAUGGCCUACCAAGACUUUGAUCAAUAGCUGAUUUGAGAGGAUGAUCAGCCACAUUGGGACUGAGACACGGCCCAAACUCCUACGGGAGGCAGCAGUGGGGAAUCUUGCACAAUGGAGGAAACUCUGAUGCAGCGAUGCCGCGUGAGUGAAGAAGGCCUUUGGGUUGUAAAGCUCUUUCGUCGGGGAAGAAAAUGACUGUACCCGAAUAAGAAGGUCCGGCUAACUUCGUGCCAGCAGCCGCGGUAAUACGAAGGGACCUAGCGUAGUUCGGAAUUACUGGGCUUAAAGAGUUCGUAGGUGGUUGAAAAAGUUGGUGGUGAAAUCCCAGAGCUUAACUCUGGAACUGCCAUCAAAACUUUUCAGCUAGAGUUUGAUAGAGGAAAGCAGAAUUUCUAGUGUAGAGGUGAAAAUUCGUAGAUAUUAGAAAGAAUACCAAUUGCGAAGGCAGCUUUCUGGGAUCAUUACUGACACUGAGGAACGAAAGCAUGGGGUAG
rnacentral:rRNA from 1 species